rnacentral:rRNA from 1 species
AGACCCGAAACCCGGUGAUCUAGCCAUGGGCAGGUUGAAGGUUGGGUAACACUAACUGGAGGACCGAACCGACUAAUGUUGAAAAAUUAGCGGAUGACCUGUGGCUGGGGGUGAAAGGCCAAUCAAACCGGGAGAUAGCUGGUUCUCCCCGAAAGCUAUUUAGGUAGCGCCUCGUGAAUUCAUCUCCGGGGGUAGAGCACUGUUUCGGCUAGGGGGCCAUCCCGGCUUACCAACCCGAUGCAAACUGCGAAUACCGGAGAAUGUUAUCACGGGAGACACACGGCGGGUGCUAACGUCCGUCGUGAAGAGGGAAACAACCCAGACCGCCAGCUAAGGUCCCAAAGUCAUGGUUAAGUGGGAAACGAUGUGGGAAGGCCCAGACAGCCAGGAUGUUGGCUUAGAAGCAGCCAUCAUUUAAAGAAAGCGUAAUAGCUCACUGGUCGAGUCGGCCUGCGCGGAAGAUGUAACGGGGCUAAACCAUGCACCGAAGCUGCGGCAGCGACACUGUGUGUUGUUGGGUAGGGGAGCGUUCUGUAAGCCUGUGAAGGUGUGUCGUGAGGCAUGCUGGAGGUAUCAGAAGUGCGAAUGCUGACAUAAGUAA